rnacentral:ncRNA from 1 species
GUAUGUUAGUCGGGGAGCCUAUGGCUGAGACCACUUCGGUGGGACCCGUUGAACCUGAUCCAUUUAAUAAUGGCGUAGGGAACUAGCAAACGUAUCCU